CCUCUGAUCCUUUGAGUGUUCUCCAUUUCGAGACCAAGAAUGCAAUUAUCUGAAUAAAGGAAUAAUUAUAAUUACAUGUGAUCAUUAGUAUUCGUAAACGUCAGAGUUGUGUUCAACUUCGAUUUACAGGCUAUGCAACGUCAAAGAUGCUGGAGGAGCCAAAAGCCAACAAACCUGCAUUUUCCAACCAACGUUGCAUCCACAUCCAAAUAAAACUGACACGUAGCUUCACUUUUGCUUGGGUCUAUUGUCCAGCCCCAACAAUCGCAAACGUCUGGAGACUGUAGCCUCUGAUCCUUUGAGUGUUCUCCAUUUCGAGACCAAGAAUGCAAUUAUCUGAAUAAAGGAAUAAUUAUAAUUACAUGUGAUCAUUAGUAUUCGUAAACGUCAGAGUUGUGUUCAACUUCGAUUUACAGGCUAUGCAACGUCAAAGAUGCUGGAGGAGCCAAAAGCCAACAAACCUGCAUUUUCCAACCAACGUUGCAUCCACAUCCAAAUAAAACUGACACGUAGCUUCACUUUUGCUUGGGUCUAUUGUCCAGCCCCAACAAUCGCAAACGUCUGGAGACUGUA